rfam:TPA: Bos taurus chromosome 29, whole genome shotgun sequence.
UCCCUAGUGUCUCAGACAGUAAAGAUUCUGCCUGUAAUGCAGGAAACCCGGGUUCAAUCCCUGGGUUGGGAA